rnacentral:rRNA from 1 species
AGGUAAGCUACUAAGAGCGAAUGGUGGAUGCCUUGACUGGUAAAGGCGAUGAAGGACGUACUAGACUGCGAUAAGCUACGGGGAGCUGUCAAGAAGCUUUGAUCCGUAGAUUUCCGAAUGGGGCAACCCAAUGUAUAGAGAUAUACAUUACCUAUAUAGGAGCGAACGAGGGGAAUUGAAACAUCUUAGUACCCUCAGGAAAAGAAAUCAAUAGAGAUUGCGUCAGUAGCGGCGAGCGAAAGCGCAAGAGGGCAAACCCAGUGCUUGCACUGGGGGUUGUAGGACUGCAAUGUGCAAGAGGUAAGUUUAGCAGAACAUUCUGGAAAGUAUAACCAUAGAGGGUGAUAGUCCCGUAUGCGAAAAACAAACCUUAGCUAGCAGUAUCCUGAGUAGGGCGGGACACGAGGAAUCCUGUCUGAAUCCGGGUCGACCACGAUCCAACCCUAAAUACUAAUACCAGAUCGAUAGUGCACAAGUACCGUGAGGGAAAGGUGAAAAGAACUGAGGUGAUCAGAGUGAAAUAGAACCUGAAACCAUUUGCUUACAAUCAUUCAGAGCCCUAUGUAGCAAUACAGGGUGAUGGACUGCCUUUUGCAUAAUGAGCCUGCGAGUUGUGGUGUCUGGCAAGGUUAAGCAAACGCGAAGCCGUAGCGAAAGCGAGUCUGAAUAGGGCGCUUAGUCAGAUGCUGCAGACCCGAAACGAAGUGAUCUAUCCAUGAGCAAGUUGAAGCUAGUGUAAGAACUAGUGGAGGACUGAACCCAUAGGCGUUGAAAAGCCCCGGGAUGACUUGUGGAUAGGGGUGAAAGGCCAAUCAAACUUCGUGAUAGCUGGUUCUCUCCGAAAUAUAUUUAGGUAUAGCGUUGUGUCGUAAUAUAAGGGGGUAGAGCACUGAAUGGGCUAGGGCAUACACCAAUGUACCAAACCCUAUCAAACUCCGAAUACCUUAUAUGUAAUCACAGCAGUCAGGCGGCGAGUGAUAAAAUCCGUCGUCAAGAGGGAAACAACCCAGACUACCAGCUAAGGUCCCUAAAUCUUACUUAAGUGGAAAACGAUGUGAAGUUACUUAAACAACCAGGAGGUUGGCUUAGAAGCAGCCAUCCUUUAAAGAAAGCGUAAUAGCUCACUGGUCUAGUGAUUUUGCGCGGAAAAUAUAACGGGGCUAAAGUAAGUACCGAAGCUGUAGACUUAGUUUACUAAGUGGUAGGAGAGCGUUCUAUUUGCGUCGAAGGUAUACCGGUAAGGAGUGCUGGAGCGAAUAGAAGUGAGCAUGCAGGCAUGAGUAGCGAUAAUUAAUGUGAGAAUCAUUAACGCCGUAAACCCAAGGUUUCCUACGCGAUGCUCGUCAUCGUAGGGUUAGUCGGGUCCUAAGUCGAGUCCGAAAGGGGUAGACGAUGGCAAAUUGGUUAAUAUUCCAAUACCAACAUUAGUGUGCGAUGGAAGGACGCUUAGGGCUAAGGGGGCUAGCGGAUGGAAGUGCUAGUCUAAGGUCGUAGGAGGUUAUACAGGCAAAUCCGUAUAACAAUACUCCGAGAACUGAAAGGCUUUUUGAAGUCUUCGGAUGGAUAGAAGAACCCCUGAUGCCGUCGAGCCAAGAAAAGUUUCUAAGUUUAGCUAAUGUUGCCCGUACCGUAAACCGACACAGGUGGGUGGGAUGAGUAUUCUAAGGCGCGUGGAAGAACUCUCUUUAAGGAACUCUGCAAAAUAGCACCGUAUCUUCGGUAUAAGGUGUGGUUAGCUUUGUAUUAGGAUUUACUCCGAAAGCAAGGAAACUUACAACAAAGAGUCCCUCCCGACUGUUUACCAAAAACACAGCACUCUGCUAACUCGUAAGAGGAUGUAUAGGGUGUGACGCCUGCCCGGUGCUCGAAGGUUAAUUGAUGGGGUUAGCAUUAGCGAAGCUCUUGAUCGAAGCCCGAGUAAACGGCGGCCGUAACUAUAACGGUCCUAAGGUAGCGAAAUUCCUUGUCGGUUAAAUACCGACCUGCAUGAAUGGCGUAACGAGAUGGGAGCUGUCUCAAAGAGGGAUCCA